AACGAACGCUGGCGGCAUGCCUAACACAUGCAAGUCGAACGAGACCUUCGGGUCUAGUGGCGCACGGGUGCGUAACGCGUGGGAACCUGCCCUUAGGUUCGGAAUAACUCCCCGAAAGGGGUGCUAAUACCGGAUAAUGUCUUCGGACCAAAGAUUUAUCGCCUUUGGAUGGGCCCGCGUUGGUUUAGCUAGUUGGUGGGGUAAAAGCCUACCAAGGCGACGAUCCAUAGCUGGUCUGAGAGGAUGAUCAGCCACACUGGGACUGAGACACGGCCCAGACUCCUACGGGAGGCAGCAGUGGGGAAUAUUGGACAAUGGGCGAAAGCCUGAUCCAGCAAUGCCGCGUGAGUGAUGAAGGCCUUAGGGUUGUAAAGCUCUUUUACACGGGAUGAUAAUGACAGUACCGGGAGAAUAAGCUCCGGCUAACUCCGUG
rnacentral:rRNA from 1 species